GUGAGUCAUCGAAUCUUUGAACGCACAUUGCGCCCGCCGGCAUUCCGGCGGGCAUGCCUGUUCGAGCGUCAUUUCGACCCUCAAGCCCCCCGUGGCUUGGCGUUGGGGUGCCUCUGCGGCCCUGCCGCAGGCCCCGAAAUCCAGUGGCGGUCCCGACCGAGGCCCUAAGCGCAGUACUGUUCUCGCUUCUGGCGUCGCGGCGGGCGACCGGCCGUAAAACCCACGGGCGCCGUCUCCGGCCCCGUAUCCACCAAGGUUGACCUCGGAUCAGGUAGGAAUACCCGCUGAACUUAAGCAUAU
rnacentral:misc_RNA from 1 species